GACGAACGCUGGCGGCGCGCCUAACACAUGCAAGUCGAACGGAGCAUUGAGAGCUUGCUUUUAAUGCUUAGUGGCGAACGGGUGAGUAACGCGUGAGUAACCUGCCCUGGAGUGGGGGACAACAGUUGGAAACGACUGCUAAUACCGCAUAAGCCCACGGCCCGGCAUCGGGCUGAGGGAAAAGGAUUUAUUCGCUUCAGGAUGGACUCGCGUCCAAUUAGCUAGUUGGUGAGGUAACGGCCCACCAAGGCGACGAUUGGUAGCCGGACUGAGAGGUUGAACGGCCACAUUGGGACUGAGACACGGCCCAGACUCCUACGGGAGGCAGCAGUGGGGGAUAUUGCACAAUGGGGGAAACCCUGAUGCAGCGACGCCGCGUGGAGGAAGAAGGUUUUCGGAUUGUAAACUCCUGUCGUUAGGGACGAUAAUGACGGUACCUAACAAGAAAGCUC
rnacentral:rRNA from 1 species